rnacentral:tRNA from 1 species
GGACUGUAGCUCAGUGGCAAAGGGCUUGCCUCGAAUGUGUGAGGCACUGGGUUCGAUCCUCAGCACCA